AUUGAACGCUGGCGGCAGGCCUUACACAUGCAAGUCGAGCGAGCGGCGGACGGGUGAGUAAUGUAUGGGGACUGCCCGAUAGAGGGGGAUAACCACUGGAAACGGUGGCUAAUACCGCAUACUAUUGGAUAACCCAUAUGGGAUUAGCUAGUAGGUGGGGUAAAGGCCAACCUAGGCGACGAUCAGUAGCGGGUCUGAGAGGAUGAUCAGCCACACUGGGACUGAGACACGGCCCAGACUCCUACGGAGGCAGCAGUGGGGAAGUUUGCACAAGGGGCGCAAGCCUGAUGCAGCCAUGCCGCGUGUAUGAAGAAGGCCUUAGGGUUGUAAAGUACUUUCGGCGGGGAAGCGUUACCCGCAGAAGAAGCACCGGCUAACUCCGUGCCAGCAGCCGCGGUAAUUC
rnacentral:rRNA from 1 species